UCCCUGGUGUGAGUCCAUCCUGGGCUGCUGUUCUUUUGAGCAGUGGUCGUUUAUCUCCGUCUGCCUUCUCUUCCACCUAAGUGCGUGUUGCCACCCGAUGGAAGAUUCGAUGGACAUGGACAUGAGCCCCCUGAGGCCCCAGAACUAUCUUUUCGGUUGUGAACUAAAGGCCGACAAAGAUUAUCACUUUAAGGUGGAUAAUGAUGAAAAUGAGCACCAGUUAUCUUUAAGAACGGUCAGUUUAGGAGCUGGUGCAAAGGAUGAGUUGCACAUUGUUGAAGCAGAGGCAAUGAAUUACGAAGGCAGUCCAAUUAAAGUAACACUGGCAACUUUGAAAAUGUCUGUACAGCCAACGGUUUCCCUUGGGGCUUUGAAAUAACACCACCAGUGGUCUUACGAUUGAAGUGUGGUUCAGGGCCAGUGUAUGCUAGCGGACAGCACUUAGUAGCUGUGGAGGAAGAUGCAGAGUCAGAAGAUGAGGAGGAGGAUGUGAAACUCUUAAGCUGAUGAAGAUGAUGAUGAUUUUGAUGAGGAAACUGAAGAAAAAGUGCCAGUGAAGAAAUCUAUACACGAUACUCCAGCCAAAAAUGCACAUAAGUCAAAUCAGAAUGGAAAAGACUCAAAACCAUCAUCAACACCAAGAUCAAAAGGACAAGAAUCCUUCAAAAAACAGGAAAAAACUCCUAAAACACCAAAAGGACCUAGUUCUAUAGAAGACAUUAAAGCAAAAAUGCAAGCAAGUAUAGAAAAAGAUGGUUCUCUUCCCAAAGUGGAAGCCAAGUUCAUCAGUUAUGUGAAGAAUUGCUUCUGGAUGACUGACCAGGAGGCUAUUCAUGGUCUCUGGCAGUGGAGGAAGUCUCUUUAAGAAAAUAG